UUUCUCCAAAGAUUUUGUUCUUACUCUCACUCGUUUGCUUCAUGGUACUUUAUCAAGAUCUAUUGCUUUUCUCUCUGUCUCUGUCGCUUUUUGUCUUACACACUGUAUCUGCUCGUCUCACCAGAACUAGACCUAAAAAUCCUUUCUGGAAGCUCGCCCAUGUUUCAUGGAUCUGCAAGCUCACCGGCAUUGUUCUAUUAGAGCCAGGAUUUCAUGACCACACGCUUUUUCAGUAGCUCUGUGGUCGUUGGCGUCAUGCAAUCGUUCAGCUUGAAGGCUGAGGUGGAUGAAGGUUUGGGUCAAUGGAAUGGGUUUUACACGGACUUCUUGGGCUGUCUUGACUACCCGUUUGUCGCAUUUGAAUUUAAGCUCUGUGGGUUCCUCUGAUAUGAAUUCGAAUUUGGGAAAGGAAGAUGCUGUUACUGAUGAUGCUUCUGCUUCCUCUUUUCAAUUUGGUUUCCUCUGGUUCCGGGUAUCCACUACUACAUAUAAACUUGUCACCUUCCCUGCUGCCAAAUCAACCAGUGUUAAUGA